rnacentral:rRNA from 1 species
GCUACACAUGCAGUCGAGCGAUUCUCUUCGGAGAAGAGCGGCGGACGGGUGAGUAACGCGUGGGUAACCUGCCCUGUACACACGGAUAACAUACCGAAAGGUAUGCUAAUACGGGAUAACAUAUUUUGAUGGCAUCAUCGAAAUAUCAAAGCUCCGGCGGUACAGGAUGGACCCGCGUCUGAUUAGCUAGUUGGUGAGGUAAUGGCUCACCAAGGCGACGAUCAGUAGCCGACCUGAGAGGGUGAUCGGCCACAUUGGAACUGAGACACGGUCCAAACUCCUACGGGAGGCAGCAGUGGGGAAUAUUGCACAAUGGGCGAAAGCCUGAUGCAGCAACGCCGUGAGCGAUGAAGGCCUUCGGGUCGUAAAGCUCUGUCCUCAAGGAAGAUAAUGACGGUACUUGAGGAGGAAGCCCCGGCUAACUACGUGCCAGCAGCCGCGGUAAUACGUAGGGGGCUAGCGUUAUCCGGAAUUACUGGGCGUAAAGGGUGCGUAGGUGGUUUUUUAAGUCAGAAGUGAAAGGCUACGGCUCAACCGUAGUAAGCUUUUGAAACUGAGAAACUUGAGUGCAGGAGAGGAGAGUAGAAUUCCUAGUGUAGCGGUGAAAUGCGUAGAUAUUAGGAGGAAUACCAGUUGCGAAGGCGGCUCUCUGGACUGUAACUGACACUGAGGCACGAAAGCGUGGGGAGCAAACAGGAUUAGAUACCCUGGUAGUCCACGCCGUAAACGUUGAUUACUCGUUGUUGGCGAUAUACUGUCAGCGACUAAGCUAAAGCGUUAAGUAAUCCACCUG